rnacentral:ncRNA from 1 species
CUUAUUCAGAGAAGUUGAGGGAUUUGGCCCGAUGAAACUUCAGCAACCGGUCACCUUAGAUACGGUGCUACGACCAACGAGUCUACUCGCAUAAUAAGAAUGAUGAG